rnacentral:rRNA from 1 species
UCCUACGGGGGGCAGCAGUGAGGAAUAUUGGUCAAUGGGCGCAAGCCUGAACCAGCCAAGUCGCGUGAGGGAAGACGGCCCUACGGGUUGUAAACCUCUUUUGCCGGGGAGCAAGCCUGAGCACGUGUGCCCAGGCGGAGAGUACCCGGAGAAAAAGCAUCGGCUAACUCCGUGCCAGCAGCCGCGGUAAUACGGAGGAUGCGAGCGUUAUCCGGAUUUAUUGGGUGUAAAGGGUGCGUAGACGGGAAAUUAAGUUAGUUGUGAAAUCCCUCGGCUCAACUGAGGAACUGCAACUAAAACUGAUU